AUGCAACAGAGACUGAAGAAAGACAGAUGUUGAAUGGUAAUUAUGUAUUAACUUCCUAGGCAUUGUAAUACAGCAUAUUGGAUUUUCAGAAAGGAUCUGAACUCUAGCCGCCCUCACCUUCAGGAUGAUCAUGCCUCCAAUAUGAGCAAGAUCUCAAUUUUUCCGGCAGCCAUCUCGGGGACCCACAUCAGAAUUGUAGAAUUUGCAAGUCAGCUCCAUCAUCAGGAGAUGCAUCAUGCCUACAAGCAAGGGGUUUCCUGGUCCUGCUUGCAGGCUAAGGGACACUGAAGGAAGCCUGUGAUCUGGGUGCUCAUAUUUCAGUCCACAAAAGAGUUGUCUGGAACAAGGUAAGUUGAGUUGGACCUCUCUGCCUUCGGUAGCAGAUCUCCCUCUCUCUAUUUGGAUGUUGUGUGUUAGAUUUCUGGAUUCUGUGAAA